rnacentral:rRNA from 1 species
CAGAGGGUGCAAACGUUGCUCGGAAUUACUGGGCGUAAAGCGCGUGUAGGCGGUCACGCAAGUCAGGUGUGAAAGCCCAGGGCUCAACCCUGGAAGUGCACAUGAUACUACGUGGCUGGAGUACUGAAGAGGAGAGCGGAAUUCCCGGUGUAGAGGUGAAAUUCGUAGAUAUCGGGAGGAACACCAGUGGCGAAGGCGGCUCUCUGGGCAGAUACUGACGCUGAGACGCGAAAGCGUGGGUAGCAAACAGGAUUAGAUACCCUGGUAGUCCACGCUGUAAACGAUGAGAACUGGGUGUCGUGGGUAUUGACCCCCGCGGUGCCGAAGCCAACGCGUUAAGUUCUCCGCCUGGGAAGUACGGCCGCAAGGCUA